ensembl:lncRNA
UUUUCAUAAGAACUUGGUAGAAAACAAAGUGAGACUACUCUUUAACCAUUUACCAAUGUCCAUCAAUCAACUUUAAAUCACCGUCAAGAUACAACUACAUUGGCAAUAGACAAAUGCUUCCCUGUACACACUAUCCACUGAACAGCCCCCUUGUCAUCAAUGCCAAUGGGAGAAAAAAAACCCACUACUUUAUUAACAGCCAAACGACAUUUCCAUGUAAAAAAAAAAAGUGUAGUCGUCUCUCCUGUUUUUACCCUCUCCGUCCUCCUCGUGGCAAAACAACACAUUGAACAUUGCAAGCUCAUUACUAUGCAUAAUUGGCAAACAAUAUAUUUAAAAAACAGUCCCAAUGUUUAUUUUCUUAUUUUUUUUUGUUCAUCGUUGAUAUAAAGAAUAUAAAAUAAUAAUAAAAAGAUGUAUGUUUUUAUCAUUUGUUCAAAGGUUGUGUCUGAGUGUAUUAAAAUAGAUUUGUAUUGAAACACUGCACAGUUUCUCCCGGAGGAUUCUGGGUGAUGUAGUCUGGGAUACCUCUGGAUGGGGAUAAUGGAUGAAGGGCACACUGUGGAGGUGGUAGAAGCUGCUUCACUAAAAACCUCUGAUCUGGAGUCAGGUUAUGUAUUCUGUAUUCUCCUAAUGUUAAAGUGAGCCUGAUCCUAGAUCUGUGGGGUUGAACUUGAUGCAACGUGAUAUGGCACCAGUCUUUCCCUCUCUUGGGGAUUUGAUUCCCAUCAGAAUGGUAGACCGUAUGCUGUGCAGAUGCUCGUCUCUGUCACGGUCUGGCGUGAUAUUCCAUGUUGGAAGAGGCAGAGCUCAUGAUAUGUAUUGAAUGUUGGACAAGACUAAGGAAUGGUAAAGCCCUAUUAGAAAGAAAGAGUCAGACAGACGGACGGACGGAUCAAUAGAUAGAUAGAUAGAUAGAUCAGUAGACAGACAGACGGAUCAGCAGAUAGACAGAUAGAUAGAUCAGUAGACAGACAGACAGAUCAGUAGAUAGACAGCUAGAUAGAUAGAUCAGUAGACAGACAGACAGUCAUGUGUCUAUGUUAGUUAGUUGAUAUGGAUGUCCUCAGUGUGUUUUGAGGCUUGGUAUGGAUGUCCUCAGUGUGUUUUGAGGCUUGGUAUGGAUGUCCUCAGUGUGUUUUGAGGCUUGGUAUGGAUGACAGUUGGAUCAGUCCUCUCUAUAGUCCUAGCGCUGUCAACAACUCCUGCCCAAAGUGUUCUACACUACAUCAUAGAUUCCGGUCUCUUAAAUAAAAUAAAAUAAUAAUCUCCAAAAAACAAGUCUUUUAUUCGAUAUGUAUUGGUGGUCUCUUCUAAUUAUUGCAUUUACCUUCUCAUUUGAUCAGUUUGGUUCCAACACAAAUACA